rnacentral:rRNA from 1 species
AUUGAACGCUGGCGGCAUGCCUUACACAUGCAAGUCGAACGGCAGCGGGGAGAAGCUUGCUUUUCCUGCCGGCGAGUGGCGAACGGGUGAGUAAUACAUCGGAACGUGCCCUGUAGUGGGGGAUAACUAGUCGAAAGAUUAGCUAAUACCGCAUACGACCUGAGGGUGAAAGUGGGGGACCGCAAGGCCGCAUGCUAUAGGAGCGGCCGAUGUCUGAUUAGCUAGUUGGUGGGGUAAAGGCCUACCAAGGCGACGAUCAGUAGCUGGUCUGAGAGGACGAUCAGCCACACUGGGACUGAGACACGGCCCAGACUCCUACGGGAGGCAGCAGUGGGGAAUUUUGGACAAUGGGCGAAAGCCUGAUCCAGCAAUGCCGCGUGUGUGAAGAAGGCCUUCGGGUUGUAAAGCACUUUUGUCCGGAAAGAAAUGGCCCUGGUUAAUACCUGGGGUCGAUGACGGUACCGGAAGAAUAAGGACCGGCUAACUACGUGCCAGCAGCCGCGGUAA